GGGGAAGUACUCAAGUGUCAAGUGGCUGAAGAGGCGCCCCUGCUAAGGGUGUAGGUCGCGCAAGCGGCGCGAGGGUUCAAAUCCCUCCUUCUCCGCCA
rnacentral:tRNA from 1 species